UCCGGUUUGGCACCGGCAGUCUUCCUAGAGUCCCCGGCUUUACCCGCUGGUAACUAGAGACGGGGGUUGCGCUCGUUGCGGGACUUAACCCAACAUCUCACGACACGAGCUGACGACAGCCAUGCAGCACCUGUGUGUAGGUCCCGUAAGGGAAGGAAUCCAUCUCUGGAAACCGUCCUACCAUGUCAAACGCUGGUAAGGUUCUGCGCGUUGCUUCGAAUUAAACCACAUGCUCCGCCGCUUGUGCGGGCCCCCGUCAAUUUCUUUGAGUUUUAGCCUUGCGGCCGUACUCCCCAGGCGGGGUACUUAAUGCGUUAGCGACGGCACCGAAGGGGUCGCUCCCCCCGACGCCUAGUACCCAUCGUUUACGGCGUGGACUAC
rnacentral:misc_RNA from 1 species